UACGUAGGGGGCUAGCGUUGUCCGGAUUUAUUGGGCGUAAAGAGCGUGUAGGCGGCCAGAUAGGUCCGUUGUGAAACCUGGAGGCUUAACCUCCAGCCGUCGAUGGAAACCAUCUGGCUAGAGUCCGGAAGAGGAGAGUGGAAUUCCUGGUGUAGCGGUGAAAUGCGUAGAUAUCGUAAGGAAGACCAGUGGCGAAGGCGGGUCUCUGGACAGUUCCUGACGCUGAGGCACGAAGGCCAGGGGAGCAAACGGG
rnacentral:rRNA from 1 species